GGAGAGCGGUGGAUGAGCACGCAGCCAGACGGGGGAGGAUCCCCGCCGGCAGCUCCUCCUGCCCCGCCCGCGGUCGGGCGUCACUUCCAGCGGCACCGAGGGUCUUUGGGACAGCCCAGGGCUGUGCCAUUUUGGCUGGCCCAGAGCCGUGCGCCAGCAUUUUGGAGAGUCCCCAGCGCUGCAGCUUCCGGUGGGGCACGACAGGUGAGGUUUGGGGUGACCCAGCUGCCGGCAAGGUCCCUCUUCAGGGCGUUUGGAUCUCCAGCCGGGUGUCCAGCCAGCGGGAAAGGUGUGGGUGUGCGUGUGCAGCUCCCUGGCGCUUCCUGGGCACGUGUCAGCUCCCGGGGGACUGAUCCGUGGGGUGAGAAAGAAAACAGGCCAGGGGCACUUGAUAGAUUGGGUCCUUUUGUGUCUGUAAAAUGCAGGUUUGGCAGUUGGUUCCAUAUUUAUAAAGAGGAUUUGAACAUUC